rnacentral:rRNA from 1 species
UACAGAGGGGGCAAGCGUUAUUCGGAAUUAUUGGGCGUAAAGGGCGCGUAGGCGGCCUGGCAAGUGGAAGGUGAAAUCCCUCGGCUUAACCGAGGAACUGCCCUCCAAACUGCUUGGCUUGAGUCCGGGAGAGGUGAGUGGAAUUCCCAGUGUAGCGGUGAAAUGCGUAGAUAUUGGGAGGAACACCAGUGGCGAAGGCGGCUCACUGGACCGGAACUGACGCUUAGGCGCGAAAGCGUGAGGAGCAAACGGG